ACGGUCUUGCUCUUUCACCCAGGCUGGAGUGCAGUGGCCUGAUCUCGGCUCACUGAAACCGCCUCCCAGGUUCAAGCGAUUCUCCUGACUCAGCCUCCUGAGUAGCUGGGACUACAGGCGUUCGCCACCACGCCUGGCUAAUUUUUGUAUUUUUAGUAGAGAUGGGGUUUCACCACGUUGGCCAGGCUGGUCUCAAACUCCUGACCUCAAAAUGAUUGAGCUCCACUGCACUCCAGCCUGGGCAACAGAGCAAGACUCUGUCUUAAAAAAAAAAAAAAAAAUCAUCCCUCAAAGUCUUAACUCUUCUAGCAUCAACUCAAUCAAAAGUCCAAAGUCCAUAGUCUCUUCUGAGACUCAAGGCAAGUUCCUUCCUCGUAUGAUUUUCUGUAAGAUCAAAAACAAGUUAUUGGCUCACACUUGUAAUCCUAGCACUUUGGGAGGUUAAAGCAGGUGUACUGCUUGAGCCCAGGAGUCCAAGACCAGCCCAAGCAACAUAGUGAGACCCCAUCUCUACCCAAAAUACAAAAAUCAGCCACGCAUGGUGGCACGUGCCUUGGUCCCAGCUACUUGGGAGGCUGAGGUGGUAAGAUUGCUUGAGCCUGGGAGGGAGAGGUUGCAGUGAGCUAUCAUGCCACUGCACUCCACCCUGGGCGACAGAGCAAGAUCCUGUCUAAACAACCACCACCACCACCAUCAACCACCCCCCGACCAAAAACACAAGUUAUUUACUUUGAAGACACAAGGGUGGUAUAGGCAUUGAGUAACAUUCCCAUUCCAAAAGGGAGAAAUCAGCCAAAAGAACAAGGCAAUAGGCCUGAAGCAAGCCUGAAACCCAGAAUGACAGACAUUAAACCUUAAAGCUCCAAAAUAAUCUCCUUUGACUCCAUAUCCCACAUCCAGGGCACAUUGAUGCAAGGGUUGGCCUCCCAAGUCCUUAGGCAGCUCCACCUCUGUGGCUGCUGUCACAGGUUGGAGUUGAGUGUCUGUGGCUUUUCUAAACUCAGGGUGCAAGCUACUGGUGGCUCUAGCAUUCUGCAGUCUGGAGGGCAGUGGCCCCUCUUCCCACAGUUCCACUUGGCAUUGCCCUGGUAGUGACUCUUUGUGGGGGCUCCCAUACCACAUUUCCCCUCUGCACUGCCCUAGUAAAGGCUCCGGUGGGGGCUCUGCCCCGUGGCAGUCUUCUGCCUGGGCACCUAGGCUUUCUCAUACAUCCUCUGAAAUCUCAGUGGAAGCUGCCAAGUCUCCUUCACUCUUGCAUUCUUCACAGCUGCAGGCUUAACAUCACAUGAAAGCCACAAAGGCUUAUGGCUUGCGCCCGCUGGAACACCGCCUCGAGCUAUAUCUGGGGCCCUUUGAGCAGUGUCCUGAGGCUGUGCAGGCCCUGGGCCUGGGCCCUGAAACCAUUCUUUCCUCCUAGGUCUCUGAUGGGAGGGACUGGCCCAAAGACUUCUGAAAUGGCUUUGAGGCCUUUUCCCACUGUCUUGACUAUUAGCACUUGGCUCCCUUUUAGUUAUAUAAAUUUCCCUAGCAAGCUGUUGCUUGUAUUCCUCUCCUGAAAAUGCUUUUUCCUUCUCUACCACAAGGCUAGGAUAUACAUUUUCCAAAUUUUAAUGCUCCUCUUCCCAUUUAAAUAUAUCUUCUAACUUUAAGAUAUUCCUUUGCUCCCAUAUCUGAUUGUAGGCUGUGAGAGGCAGGCAUGGCACAUCUUGAAUGCUUUGCUGCUUAGAAAUUUCUUCAGCUAGACACCCUAGCUGAAGGUCAUCACUGUUUUUUUAUUUUUUUGAGACGGAGUCUCACUCUGUCGUCCAGGCUGGGGUGCAGUGGCACGAUCUUGGCUCACUGCAACCUCUGCCUCCCGGGUUCAAGCGAUUCUCCUGCCUCAGCCUCCCCAAUGAGAGUAGCUGGAAUUACAGGUGUGUGCCACCACACCCAGUUAAUUUUUGUAGUUUUAGUAGAGAUGGGGUUUCACCAUGUUUGUCAGGCUGGUCUCGAACUCCUGACCUCAAGUGACCCACCUGCCUUGGCCUCCCAAAGUGCUGAGAUUACAGGUGUGAGCCACCAUGCCUGGCCAGAAGGUCAUCACUCUUAAGUUCAACCCUCCACAAAGCCCUAGGACAUGAACACAAUGCAGCCAUGUUCUUUGCUAAGGUGUAACAAGGGUGAUCUUCACUCCAUUUCCCAAUAAAUUCCUCAUUUCCAUUUGAGACCUCAUCAGCCUGGUGUUCACUGUCUAUAUUUCUAUUAGCAUUUUGGUCAUAACCAUUUAACCAGUCUCUAAGAAAUUUCAAAAUUUCCCUCAUCUUCCAUCUUCUUAUGAGCCCUCCAAACUCUUUCCCAACCUCUGCCCAUUACCCAGUUAAAAAGUCUCUUCCACGUCUUCAGGUACAUUUAUAGCAAUGCCCCACUUUUCAGUACCAAUUUUCUGUUAGUACGUUUUGCAUUGCUAUAAAAGAAUAUCCAAGGCUGGGUAAUUUAUAAAGAAGAGGUUUAAGCUGGGCGUGGUAGCUCAGGUCUGUAAUCCCAGCACUUUCGGAGGCUGAGGCGGGCAGAUCAUUUGAGGUUAGGAGUUCGAGACCAGCCUGGCAAACAUGGUGAAACGCUGUCUCUACUAAAAAUAUAAAAACUAGCUGGACGUGGUGGUGUGCGCCGGUAAUCUCAGCGACUCGGGAGGCUGAGGCAGGAGAAUCGCUUGAACCUGGAAGGCAGAGGCUGCAGUGAGCCGAAAUCACACCACUGCACUCUAGCCUGGAUGACACGGCGAGACACCAUCUCAAAAAAAAAAAAGAAAAAAAGAAAAAAAGGCUGGGCAUGGUGGCUCACGCCUGUAAUCCCAGCACUUUGGGAGUCCGAGGCAGGCAGAUCACGAGGUCAGGAGAUUGAGACCAUACUGGCUAACACGGUGAAACCCUGUCUGUACUAAAAAUACAAAAAAAUUAG
rnacentral:lncRNA from 1 species